GACGAACGCUGGCGGCGUGCUUAACACAUGCAAGUCGAACGGAAAGGCCCUGCUUUUGUGGGGUGCUCGAGUGGCGGACGGGUGAGUAACACGUGAGUAACCUGCCCUUGACUUUGGGAUAACUUCAGGAAACUGGGGCUAAUACCGGAUAGGAGCUCCUGCUGCAUGGUGGGGGUUGGAAAGUUUCGGCGGUUGGGGAUGGACUCGCGGCUUAUCAGCUUGUUGGUGGGGUAGUGGCUUACCAAGGCUUUGACGGGUAGCCGGCCUGAGAGGGUGACCGGCGACAUUGGGACUGGGAUACGGCCCAGACUGCUACGGGAGGCAGCGGUGGGGAAUGUUGCACAAGGGGCGGAAGCCUGAUGCAGCAACGCCGCGGGCGGGAUGACGGCCCUCGGGUUGUAAACCGCUUUCGCGUGUGACGAAGCGGGAGUGACGGGAAUGGGUAAAGAAGCAGCGGCGAAGUACGUG
rnacentral:rRNA from 1 species